rnacentral:rRNA from 1 species
GAUGAACGCUGGCGGCGCGCUUAACACAUGCAAGUCGAACGGUGAACACGGAGCUUGCUCUGUGGGAUCAGUGGCGAACGGGUGAGUAACACGUGAGCAACCUGCCCCUGACUCUGGGAUAAGCGCUGGAAACGGCGUCUAAUACUGGAUAUGUGACGUGACCGCAUGGUCUGCGUUUGGAAAGAUUUUUCGGUUGGGGAUGGGCUCGCGGCCUAUCAGCUUGUUGGUGAGGUAAUGGCUCACCAAGGCGUCGACGGGUAGCCGGCCUGAGAGGGUGACCGGCCACACUGGGACUGAGACACGGCCCAGACUCCUACGGGAGGCAGCAGUGGGGAAUAUUGCACAAUGGGCGCAAGCCUGAUGCAGCAACGCCGCGUGAGGGAUGACGGCCUUCGGGUUGUAAACCUCUUUUAGCAGGGAAGAAGCGAAAGUGACGGUACCUGCAGAAAAAGCGCCGGCUAACUACGU